GGUGCCACGGGACUUAAAGUGGUCCUGUCCAAACCGAGUCGGCUUAACGCGUCCGUCGAGUGGGAGCCGGUGAGAGAAGGAUCCAAAAUUAAGCUCAAGACUAGACACGGUAACCUUCUCCGAGCCAAUGGUGGACUUCCUCCGUGGCGUAACUCAGUCACUCAUGACUCUCCUCAUAGUUCGGACUCGUUCUUGUGGGAUGUUGAUAUCGUUGAGAUCUUGGUUGAAACGGCUACUCCGGCUACGGCAACGUAUCUAACGGCGGACGAGGACGAAGAGACGGUGACUCAAGACAGAAAUGGUUCCGACAAGAGAGCUCGAUGGACCGUCGAACCAGUUCGUGGUUCCUUUGAAGUGAUCCGCUUAAGGAGUUGCUACGGUAAUUAUCUCACCGCUUCUAACGAGCGGUUCUUGCUCGGUGCCACGGGACUUAAAGUGGUCCUGUCGAAACCGAGUCGGCUUAACGCGUCCGUCGAGUGGGAGCCGGUGAGAGAAGGAUCCAAAAUUAAGCUCAAGACUAGACACGGUAACCUUCUCCGAGCCAAUGGUGGACUUCCUCCGUGGCGUAACUCAGUCACUCAUGACUCUCCUCAUAGUUCGGACUCGUUCUUGUGGGAUGUUGAUAUCGUUGAGAUCUUGGUUGAAACGGCUACUCCGGCUACGGCAACGGCAACAACUCCUCCGCCACAUAGGAGGCCAUCGAGUCCCCCGCC
rnacentral:lncRNA from 1 species